rnacentral:rRNA from 11 species
UCUAUUUGGAGGUAUAAAUAGUCUAGCCUGCUCACUGAUAAAUUAUUUAAGAGCCGCAGUAUCCUGACUGUGCAAAGGUAGCAUAAUCAUUAGUUUUUUAAUUGAAAACUAGAAUGAAGGGCUGGACAAAGGAAAAGCUGUCUUUAAUGCAAACGUUGAAAUUUACUUUUAAGUGAAAAGGCUUAAAUAAAUUAAAGGGACGAUAAGACCCUAUGAAGCUUUAUAUAUUAUUUAAAUUUGAUUGAUUUAAAAGAUAAAAAUCGAAUUUAAUUGUUAUAUUUUGUUGGGGAGACAUGAGUAUAAUUUUUGUAACUGCUUAGGUGUAAAACAAUAAUUGGUGUUUUAAUUUAUAGAUGAUCCUUUUUAAAGAUUUAAAGAUCAAGUUACUUUAGGGAUAACAGCGUUAUUUCUUUUGAGAGUUCAUAUCGAAAAAGAAGUUUGCGACCUCGAUGUUGAAUUAAAAUAUCUUUAUAGUGCAGC